rnacentral:rRNA from 1 species
GAUGAACGCUGGCGGCGUGCUUAACACAUGCAAGUCGAACGAAGCACUUUAGACAGAUUCUUCGGAUGAAGUCCUUAGUGACUGAGUGGCGGACGGGUGAGUAACGCGUGGGUAACCUGCCUCAUACAGGGGGAUAACAGUUAGAAAUGGCUGCUAAUACCGCAUAAGCGCACGGUACUGCAUGGUACGGUGUGAAAAACUCCGGUGGUAUGAGAUGGACCCGCGUUGGAUUAGCUAGUUGGCAGGGUAACGGCCUACCAAGGCGACGAUCCAUAGCCGGCCUGAGAGGGUGAACGGCCACAUUGGGACUGAGACACGGCCCAGACUCCUACGGGAGGCAGCAGUGGGGAAUAUUGCACAAUGGGGGAAACCCUGAUGCAGCGACGCCGCGUGAGCGAAGAAGUAUUUCGGUAUGUAAAGCUCUAUCAGCAGGGAAGAAAAUGACGGUACCUGACUAAGAAGCCCCGGCUAACUACGUGCCAGCAGCCGCGGUAAUACGUAGGGGGCAAGCGUUAUCCGGAUUUACUGGGUGUAAAGGGAGCGUAGACGGAAUGGCAAGUCUGAUGUGAAAGGCCGGGGCUCAACCCCGGGACUGCAUUGGAAACUGUCAAUCUAGAGUACCGGAGGGGUAAGUGGAAUUCCUAGUGUAGCGGUGAAAUGCGUAGAUAUUAGGAGGAACACCAGUGGCGAAGGCGGCUUACUGGACGGUAACUGACGUUGAGGCUCGAAGCGUGGGGAGCAAA